rnacentral:lncRNA from 1 species
CCAUACCUGCAGCAUAUGGAAAAAUUCCCAUGCCACAGCGGCAACCUGAGCCACUGCAGGGAUAAUGCCUGAGACUUAACCUGCUGUACCACAGGAGAACUCCCACAGUUCCUCAUUUAGUUAUCUCUCUGCUUUCAGCUUGCUGUUUUAUUUUUGUUGAGAAUGGAUAGAAGGCUUGAGGAUUUUCCUUGCCUUUUUUUUUUCUUUUUUUGGCCACACCCAUGGUAUAUGUUUGUUCCUGGGCUAGGGAAUGAAUCUGAACCACAGCUGCGACCCACACAACAACCGUGGCAAUGCCAGAGCCUUAACCCACUAUGCCAGGCCAGGGGUCAAACCUGAGCUGCUGCAGAGCCAACACCGGACAAGUAACCUGUUGCACCACAGUGGGAACUUCAGAUUUUCCUUACUUUCUUGAAAGCUCCACAAUGCAUUUAAAACUAUAUUUAUGUAUAUAUAUGCCAGUGUCUAGGUGUUCAGCUAUGGGAGAGACUUUUCAAAAAUAUCUGGCUUGUUGGGCUGCCAGUAAAUAAGUCUUAAAAAGUUUAACUUUCAAAACAUUUUUGGUUACAAAAGAAAAAAAAAAAACAAAAAAACAAAAAAACCAGAGUUCCCACUGUGGCUCAGCAGGUUAAGAAUCCCACUAGUAUCCAUGAGGAUGCAGGUUCAGUCCCUGGCCUUGCUCAGUGGGCUAAAGAUCCAGCAUUGCCAUGAGCUGUGGUGUAGAAUGCAGAUGUGCCUAGGAUCUGGUGUUGCUGUGGCUGGGGCGUAUGCCAGUAGCAGCAGCUCCGAUUCCACCCCUAGCCUGGGAACUCCCAUAUGCUGCAGGUAUGGCCCUAAAAAGGAAAAGAAAAAGAAAAAGAAAAAAAUCCUCAAGAUUUCUUACUAAGUGUAAAAUCCCUAGUGAUUUGAAAGUUGUGAAGAUAACAAAAAUGAUGGUAAGCAAAAUUUACUGUGUAUCGAACUAUUUGCCAGGCACUGUAUAUAUGUUGCCUCAUUUACCCUAGGAAUUAGGUAAUAUUAUCUCUAAGCUACAGGUAAAAAACCUGAGAUUUUGAGAAGGCAAGUAAUAGGGUUUGUCUGAUAAUAAAUUUUUAUGUGCUUUUUUUCCCCCACUAAGCUGGAUUGCCUUUCUAUCCAAGAUCUGCCAUCAUAGAAGAUGGAAACAUUUGAAAAAUGUUAUCAGCUAUACUUUGCUUUCAGGUGGCAGACUGAUCAGAGAUCAACUUGGAAGUACAGUAUCUUCAUUUCUUAAAAGUGUAUCAAAUUUGAUCAACAUCUGGCAAUCUCUUCAAAACAUCAUGGAUCAAAGAAAUAGACAAAAAUCGGAAGCCUUAAACACUCAAGGUAAGAAAGAGCUGUUUCCCAGUCAUUCAAGAAUAUUAGGUAAGUUCCAGAAGCAAUAUAUUUGUUUGUUUUGUGCUUCUUUAUUCACUACCAUCUAUCAAAAAGAAUUUAGGAUAGCUGACAAAGAUGUAUAAAAUCCAAUAUAUAAAUUAGAAAUAGGUAAGGGGGUAAGAAACAAGAAGAAACAAAAAGGGAAAACAAAGGAAUGAGACUAAAAUUAAAAGGUAUACCAUUGAGCCGCUUCUGAGGCAGGUGGCAAAUUUGACCCUAAACUUUCUAAGGUCAACUUUAAAAGGGCUGCUUGAGUAGUUAUGAGUCACCAUGUGUAAAUAAUAAAAAAACAAUCCAACUGCUAAGAAGCACAACUAUGACUGAUUUCCAUCAAAAGGAUCAAAAGUUACUCAAAAAACUUCAUAGAAAGGGCAUUGUAUAAUGAAAAGAACAACACUGAGAUCAUACAACUGCAGUAUUUCUUGAGCGUGAAAGGGGAACUAUUAAAUAUUAUGCUGGGACAAUAAGUGUAAACUGGGACUCUCCCCACAAAAUCAAAAUUUGACUUACCAUGUUGUAUUCAUUUCAGGUGUACACCAGAGUAAAUCAGUUAUACUUAUACAUAUAUCCAUUCUUUUUAUAUGUAAUAACAUAUAGGUUAUUAAAAACUAUUGAGAUUUCCCUGUGCUAUAUGGUAGGUUCUUAUUAUCUAUUUUAUACAUUAGUGUGUAUAUGUUAAUCCCAUCCUCUCACUUCCUCUCUCCCUUCUAUGGUUUCCCAUAUGGUAACCAAAAGAUUAGUUUUGAAAUCUCAGUUUGUUUCUGUUUUAUAAAUUUUUUUUGUAUUAUUCUAAUAAAAAUAAUACAAAAAAAUUAUUUAUAAAAGAGAAACUGAGAUUUCAAAACCCAUCCUAUUAAUGGUUAACAAUAAUUAAUUUUACUUCAUUCAGUAUGAAAACCUCUUGGUCCCUCCAUGUUGCUGCAAAUGCCAUUAUUUUGUUCUUUUUAUGGCUGAGUAAUAUUCCAUUAUAUCUAUAUACCACACCUUCCUUAUCUAUUCAUCUCUUGAUGGACAUUUAGGUUGUUUCCAUGUCUUAGCUAUUGAAAAUAGUGAUGCAGUGAAUAUUGGGGUGCAUGUAUCUUUUUGAAAUAUGUUUUUUUACCACUACAUGUAUUAUGAAGAUUUUUUAAAUUGCAUUCCUCAAUAAAAGCCAGUGAUUGCACACAAAAUAGUAAUUCAGUGAAAGCAGCUCUGAGGUUAACAUAAUAUGGUUGCUUAUAACUUUCAGUUGAUCUAGUUGACUGGUCAUAUUAGAGCAUGGUGGAGCAGGAGUAAACUCAAAUGGCUUCAGCAGUGAGCAAAUUAACAUAAGAUCAUCAAGUAGCCAGGUGUAGACUAAGAGAGAAUGAUUAGUGAAGAAUACAUUUUAAAACAAUAUUUUGGAAAACAAAAUCCACCCAUAGGUUUAAUCUAGUUUCCAACUAAGUGAAUGACAGCUGGCAAUAAUGGCAUAUCCAUAUAGUAUGCUUAUUUGAAUGCCAUCUGCACUCAGAAUUACAUAGACAUUUUUAAGCAUUUGCCAGACCUUCAUUUUUCAACUAAUUCUUGCUUGUGUCUCUUACUAUGUUGAAAAUAUUUAGAAGGGUUUUUAUUUAAGUUUGAACAAUUUCUGAAUUAAUUUUUAAAUUUUAUUUAAGUAGCACAUUCUUUUGAACAGUAAUCAUUACUGACUCAAAUUUUCCUCUGGGAGUUCCCUUGUGGUGCAGAGGGUUAAGGAUUAGUUGUCAUUGUAGUAGCUCUGGUCACUGCUCUGGCACAGUGUGAUCCCUGGCUCGGGAAAUUCCACAUGCCACCGGCAUGACCAAGAGAAUUUUUUUUCCUCUGACUCUGGCUGCUGGAGAAAUGCUUUUUCUUGGUCUUUCAGUAUGAAAGAGCUAUUUUAAAAAAUAGCUCAUGCAAUCAGAGGCUACAUUAGUAAAAGAUUAAGAUUCUAAACAAGGGAACUGACAGUUGAAGGGAGACAGCAGUCUCACCUUACACUGUGCUGGUACAGAUCCUUGUGGGUGCCUCAGUUACUACAGGGAGACACUGACAAAGCAUAGAGACACAAAAGGCAAUGCUGCCAUUUCCCAUGCUUUCUAGGUGUCUCCUCUUUUCAAUAGAACUUUUCAAGCUCCUGCACCCCAGCCCUGCCCCUUCUCCCCUUGUCAACUCUUAAAAGAUGACUUGGUCUCAGAAACAUCAUCAAAUAAUUCAGGUUCACUCUCUCUUUUUGAUGUGCCUGUGUCCACACAGCUCUAGCUGGUAGAAGAGCUGUCCUUCCUCCUAUUUAAGACAUUUUUUCCUCCACAGGAUGUCACCUCCUCUGCCCUCUCAGGAAUCCUUUUUUAUUAUCUACUUACAUCCUAUUCUAUAUCUUCAACCCUCCCUUUCUCCAGAUUCUUCCCUGUGGACAUAAAAAGGAAGUCAAGGAUUUCCCAUCGUGGCUCAGCGGUAAGGAACCCGACUAGUGUCCAUGAGGACUCUGGUUCCAUCCCUGGCUUUGCUCAGUGGGUUAAGGAUCUGGCAUUGCCAUGAGCUCUGGUGUAGUCUGCAGACAUGGCUCAGAUCUGGUGUUGCUAUGGCUGUGGUGUAGGCUGUAUUUUGACCUCUAGCCUGGGAACUUCCAUAUGCUGCAGGCGCAGCCCUAAAAAGACUGAAAAAGAAAAAAGAGAAAAGAAUUAUCUUUGGGAGUUCCCUGGUGGCCUAGUGGUUAAGGAGCUGUUGGUGUCACUUCUGUGGCACAGGUUCGAUCCCUGAUAGGGUUUUUCAUAUUCCCUGAGUGCAGCCAAACAAAACAUUAAAAAAAAAAAUUACCUUUGAUACCAUCUCUUCCUUUUCUCCGGCUCAGCUAUAUUUAAUUGGUCACUACGUCCUAAUUCUCACUUGAAAUAGUCUUCUGACCAGCUUAAACAACUGACUUAACCUGAAUGCACCAUGCUGUCCUGUCUCUUUCCCUUGCCUCUUUCCUGGUACCCUUUGCAUUCCCACUAUUCAGUCCUGCAAUGCGGAGCUCAGAUGUCUCCUCCUACAGCAUGUUCCCUAGCCUCUCUAGCCAAGAUUAGGUGUUCCUCUGGUAUAUUCCCAUAGCACUCUGUGUUUACUUCAUUCAUAUCAACACUGCAACUGCUAAUUUGCUUAUUGGGAUCCCUCUUUAAAUGUAGGAAAACAAUAGCUCACAUUUGUCAAAAGCUGUGUACCAGGCUCUGUAAUAAGAGCAUCCAAAGCAUUAUUCAUUUAAUCCUCACAAUAAUCCCAAGGAGUAGGUAUAAAUACUACCCUCAAUUCCUAGGGAUAGAAACUGAACUCAGCUUAAACAACUUGCUCGAUGUUGCAGAAUUAUGUCCUAACCUUCUUGAGGGUAAAGGUCAUGUCCUAUUUGUCUAUGAAGAGAACUUGGCAUAUUAUGGCACUUGCAGUUCCCCAAUAAAUGUUUAUGGGUCAAAUAAAUACAUGAUGAGCUCAGAGGACAAAACUGGGAUCAACUAACAGAAAUUUUAAAAGAGGCAGAUUUGGGAGUUGUCUUGUGGUGCAGUCGGUUAAGGAUUCAGCAUUAUCACUGCAGUGGCUUGUGUUCCUGCUGUGGCAUGGGUUUGAAUCUUGGCCCAGGAACUUCCAAAUGCCGAGGGUGCAGCCAAAAAGAAAAAAGAAAAAGGAUUUUAUAUUAGCUAGGGCUCUCCAAUGGAACUGAUCACUCAGAAAAGUUAACAUGUAGCACUUAGCACACUGAAGAGUAUUUAUACAUUUGCACGUUCCCCCUUGUGACUAGGGGCUUUAUCUUUGCUUUCAUUCCUCAGAAUCUAGCCAAGGCCUCAAGAUGCUCAGUAGGUGCUCACUGAAUGAAAUGAAUUGAAUUGGAAGGCCCUGAAAACUAAAAAGUGAAUAUUUGACCUUAAUAUCAUUCAUUGGAAGUUAAACCCCGCUGUUUUUUUUUAUUUCUUCCCAUUAGUCUGCCUUUUCUUUCCAAAGAGCUUUGAGAAUAAAGAGAGGACAGGGAAAGCGUUUAGAGACUUUGUAAAAUUCUACCAGACUGUAAGCCCUGUGAGGGUAGGGAAAUUAUCUUUUAUCACAUUACCUCCAUAGCCUAGCACAACAUAACUGUUUAUUUGUUGGAUCACACAAACACACACACACACUCUCUCUCUCACACCCCCCCCCCCCCAGUGUGUGCUUUAUUCUUAGAAGAGUCCCACAGAACCAUAUGCCACAUAAGUGACUUCUGCAUCAGGUAGGGGACUGGACCAGAUCAGUAAUGUUAUGCUGAAAAACUAGUGUAAUUAUAUACUUUGGAUCCCAAACAUGAGAGAAAUGGAGAAGGCAAGGGAGGAUAAAAGCAUUAAAUUCCAACUGUCAUUCUGAACAUUGAGAUAAGACUCAGAGUAAUAAAAAAAUCUUCCUUAAAGAUCCACAGACAGGUAGUAAAGAAAUAGCGGGCUGCAUGACCUCUAAGGUCCCUGCUAAAUUUAGUAUUAUUUGAUUUUCAUUUAUUGAUCCUAAACAUCAAGUUAAGAGCCUAUACUUCAAGACACUGUUUAGAUCUAGAGUUACUAAACAUUAUUCUGGGCACUGAGGAGUCAGCUGUAAAAAAAGAGAGAAAUUCUUAACUUCAUGGUGUUUACAUUCUAAUGGAAGGUGGGUGUGGGAGGCAAAUGAGAUUUUAGUGUCCCAAAAAAGAUAGCAAGAGGCUAGGAAGUGGCAAAAUUAAUGGGACAGCAUUCCAAUGGUUAUAUCUUCAAGGGCUGGUUAGGUCAUAGGUACUACUCAAAGGGCUGGAGGGCAAUUCUUGGCAGUAAUUCCUUAACACUUUAAACAUCCAUUCCUUCCUCAAUGUCCUGUUAUCUCAAUUCCCAUCUAAAUUGAUACCAACUGCUUGCUACCACUUCCUCAAGGUAUUUCUUCUCCUCAGAUAAAAAACUAACUAUAAUUUUCUCUUAGGUAUACUAUCAAUCAUUUAUUCUUUUUAAAAACGUUCAAAAAAUCUAUGAAGAAGCAUAUGUCAAUUUUAUCACCUAAUUUUCUUUCCCGCCUCUAGCGCUCUCAAGUCUAUUGCAAACUCUUCUAAGUCUUCAUUAGCUUUUCCCUCUCAAUUCCUUUAAUAAACCAAAAUAACUGCUUUCCAUGUUUACCAAGCAAUCCUACCUAUCUCCUUGUUUUAAA